AUUGAACGCUGGCGGCAGGCCUAACACAUGCAAGUCGAGCGGUAGCACAGAGAGCUUGCUCUCGGGUGACGAGCGGCGGACGGGUGAGUAAUGUCUGGGAAACUGCCUGAUGGAGGGGGAUAACUACUGGAAACGGUAGCUAAUACCGCAUAACGUCGCAAGACCAAAGAGGGGGACCUUCGGGCCUCUUGCCAUCAGAUGUGCCCAGAUGGGAUUAGCUAGUAGGUGGGGUAACGGCUCACCUAGGCGACGAUCCCUAGCUGGUCUGAGAGGAUGACCAGCCACCCUGGAACUGAGACACGGUCCAGACUCCUACGGGAGGCAGCAGUGGGGAAUAUUGCACAAUGGGCGCAAGCCUGAUGCAGCCAUGCCGCGUGUAUGAAGAAGGCCUUCGGGUUGUAAAGUACUUUCAGCGGGGAGGAAGGCGAUAAGGUUAAUAACCUUGUCGAUUGACGUUACCCGCAGAAGAAGCACCGGCUAACUCCGUGCCAGCCGCCGCAGUAA
rnacentral:rRNA from 1 species